GCUGUCUUCAGCAGCACAUGUAAGAAAUUUAAAAUAAUGCAGAGAUGAUUAGCAUGCUCCCUGCUUGAGGAUGACAGGCCAGUUUGUGAAGCAUUCUAUGUUUGU